rnacentral:rRNA from 1 species
CGAACGCUGGCGGCAGGCUUAACACAUGCAAGUCGAGCGCCCCGCAAGGGGAGCGGCAGACGGGAGAGUAACACGUGGGAACGUGCCCUUUGGUUCGGAACAACCCAGGGAAACUUGGGCUAAUACCGGAUACGUCCGUAAGGAGAAAGAUUUAUCGCCAAAGGAUCGGCCCGCGUCUGAUUAGCUUGUUGGUGAGGUAAUGGCUCACCAAGGCUACGAUCAGUAGCUGGUCUGAGAGGAUGAUCAGCCUCACUGGGACUGAGACACGGCCCAGACUCCUACGGGAGGCAGCAGUGGGGAAUAUUGGACAAUGGGCGCAAGCCUGAUCCAGCCAUGCCGCGUGGAUGAUGAAGGCCCUAGGGUUGUAAAGUCCUUUCGGCGGGGAAGAUAAUGACGGUACCCGCAGAAGAAGCCCCGGCUAACUUCGU